rnacentral:rRNA from 1 species
UGCCAGCCGCCGCGGUAAUACGAAGGGGUCUCGCGUUGUUCGGCAUCACUGGGCGUAAAGCGUACGUAGGUGGUUUGGUAAGUCGGAUGUGAAAUCCCCGGGCUCAACCUGGGAAUUGCAUUCGAAACUGCCUCACUAGAGUCUAGCAGAGGGAUGGGGAAUUCCGAGUGUAGGGGUGAAAUCCGUAGAUAUUCGGAGGAACACCAGUGGCGAAGGCGGCUUUCUGGACCGAUACUGACGCUGAGGUGCGAAAGCGUGGGGAGCAAACAGGAUUAGAUA